GAUGAACGCUAGCGGGAGGCCUAACACAUGCAAGCCGAGCGGUAUUUGUUCUUCGGAACAGAGAGAGCAGCGCACGGGUGCGGAACACGUGUGCAACCUGCCUUUAUCUGGGGGAUAGCCUUUCGAAAGGAAGAUUAAUACCCCAUAAUAUAUUGAGUGGCAUCAUUUGAUAUUGAAAACUCCGGUGGAUAGAGAUGGGCACGCGCAAGAUUAGAUAGUUGGUGAGGUAACGGCUCACCAAGUCAAUGAUCUUUAGGGGGCCUGAGAGGGUGAUCCCCCACACUGGUACUGAGACACGGACCAGACUCCUACGGGAGGCAGCAGUGAGGAAUAUUGGACAAUGGGUUAGCGCCUGAUCCAGCCAUCCCGCGUGAAGGACGACGGCCCUAUGGGUUGUAAACUUCUUUUGUAUAGGGAUAAACCUACUCUCGUGAGAGUAGCUGAAGGUACUAUACGAAUAAGCACCGGCUAACUCCGUG
rnacentral:rRNA from 1 species